GCACUACUGAGGAGUCCCAUAAUAGGACGAAACGGCCGUCCAGUAU
rnacentral:hammerhead_ribozyme from 1 species